UUAAAUUAUCUCCCACUUUUACUUCCUUUUUUAUUUUUAUUUUUGUCCUCCAUUUUUCUCUGCAACCAAAGCAAGUUGCCAACUCAGAGUCUCAGUCCACCGUUCACCGGCGGUAAUUUUGAAACCAUGGAAUCGUACUCGAGUCCUACCUUAACUCAGUGCGAUUAGAUAUUGGUUGAGCAACAAGUCUACAACAUGCCUCACAAUUCCUAAUCCUUCAUGUUGGAGCUUCAACGAGAAAAUCAUUUGGAGUACUUAACGAAUGGAUUAAAGCAGCUCGAUCCUUCUUUCUGCGUACUGGAUGCCAAUCACCCUUGGAUUUGUUAUUGGAUACUUCAUUCGAUUGCUUUAAUGAACGAGUUUGUAGAUCCUGAAUUGGAAGAUAAUACUAUUUAUUUUCUUAGCCGUUGUCAGAUGCCUAAUCUUUCAACAACAUAUGAUGCAGUCAAUUCACUUGUUACUUUGGGCAGUGACAAAGUGUUGUGAUCAAUUAAUAGAGAAAAGCUCUACUCAUUUAUGCGGCAAAUGGAAGAUGAUAGUGGGGGUUUCAGAAUGCAUGAUGGUGGAGAAAUUGACGUUCGAGCAUGUUAUACAGCCAUCUCAGUUGCAAGUCUUUUGAAUAUUUUGGAUGAUGAACUUGGUUAAAAUGUUGGAAAUUACAUUUAAGAUUUUAGAUUUCAAAUUUUCAAAGCAACAGAGGAAAAAUCGCCUUUGGUGUGAACAUUGUAAGAAGCCAGGCCAUAUGAUAGAUCAAUGUUGGAAGCUGCACGGAAAACCAGCCGAUUGGCAGCCCACACGGUCCAGGUUUCAAAAGGAGCCUCAUAUUGCCUCUCAAGAUGAUUCCUCAAGCAGUUUUAGCAAGAAACAGAUGGAGGAACUGUAGUAAAAUUUGAGUAGUAUAACAACCAAGCCUACAAAUGUGACUUAUACUACCACUGAUGGAAAUAAUCCAUAUGCUUCCUCGGUACAAUGGAUAAUAGACUCGGGUGCAUCAGAUCAUAUGACAGGAAAUAUUGAUCUCUUGGAGGAAUAUAGUGAAAGAAGCUUACCAGCUUCUAUCAAAAUAGCAGAUUGCUCUCUCACUACAUUCAAAGGGAGUAGUUCUAUUACAUUAAACAAAAAUCUACUACUUCAUAAUGUCCUCUAUGUUCUUA